CCUUCGUCUAGAAAGAGCGGCAUUCAACUGAAUUGAACAAAUGAACACCAGGCACACGACUACCCAAUUCAUGAACAAUUGUAUUCUUUAUUUUAAUAGUGAAAACUCCCAAAAGAAGACCGGUCAAAACAUACAACCACAUGGAACUGUUUUGGGGCUUCGCCUCGUGGUUGACCGGUCAAACUUUCACUCAAAUGGCGUUCCUGUUCUACCGAAUGGAUCUGAGCGGUAUUUCAACAGAUUGGGCACUCAGACCCCGCUAUUCAGUGAAGGGAGUUCUGAUUAAUAUUAUGGGAGUUAUGAUGUUUUAAAAUAUUGUUUGAUGUUCUGUACUUGUUUAGCUGAUAUGCUUUCCUGAAGAAGUGUGUUUCCAAAGAUUUUUUGAAGGAG